rnacentral:lncRNA from 1 species
GGAAACAUACCAAUACGUACCAUGCCAAGAGAUGAUCAAAACAUCCACGACUAAGUCGUUGUUUUUCCGCAACAACACCUUCAAAAAGGGAUAACAUUCAUACGGUCAAUGUUGGCAAUUACAAUCCGAGUGUUGUUCAAAAAAAUUAAGGCCAGAAGAACAGCACAGAGACAAUACAUGAAACAAGUUAAAGAUUCAAUCGUCUAGCUAGCCGACGGAUUCAACUAUCCACCAUGGACAUCAAAUGAUGUUCGAGCCGCCAUUUUGUUGACGGAUCUUCCAAGAACCACGGCAUCCAGUGCUCCCCACGAAACCGCCAUGGUUAGAGUUGUACACCGGAAAUAGCCCGAGAGCGGGCCACGACAGGAAAUCUUGUCGAUCGUGCAGUUGCCUUGCCUCGUCCACCAACUGAGCUUAACCCGCC